rnacentral:lncRNA from 1 species
CACCUUGCGGGCUUCCACAGAAAUGAUUUGCCAAUACCUGAGCUUAGGAGCAGGCAAAUGUUCUGAAUUGUCAUUCUUCUGCC